CUCCAGGUCCAGCUCCAGGUCCAGGUCCAGUUUGACAAGCGUCACGACACAAGCUCGGUCCGGACGUCCCCCAUCACCUUCAUUGAGCUCCAUAACAGCCGUUGUCUUUGUUGACAUGAGAGCGAACGUAUCUAGUGUCCAGUGAGUCUCAGCACCGUGUCUCCAGAUUGCUUGUUGUGUCUGAGGCCGGAACACAAAUGUAAACUCUGGAUCACAUUUCUCUCAGCAGCAGCGGCACACAUCGUGUAGGACGACUCGCCAUGCAUCGACCAAUACUCCUGAACUGACGGGACCAUGAAGACCAACAGGUCGUACAAGCUCGUGCUGCACAAGAAAGGUUUCGGCGGCAGCGAUGACGAGUUGGUUGUCAACCCAAAGGUUUUCCCUCAGGUCAGUCUCGGGGACAUCAUCGAGAUCGCACACCCCACAGAUGAGUACAGUCCUCUGCUGCUGCAGGUGAAGAGCCUGAAAGAAGAUCUACAGAAAGAGACAAUCAGUGUGGACCAGGCCGUAGCACAAGCCUUCAAACUGCGAGCAUACCAGGAUGUGAUCGUGAGCAUCGUGGACCCAAAGGACGUAACGCUGGACCUGCUGGAGCUGACGUUCAAGGACCAGUACAUCGGCCGAGGAGACAUGUGGAGGCUAAAGAAGAAUCUGGUGACCACGUGUGCGUACGUCACACAGAAAGUGGAGUUUGCUGGAAUCAGAGCCCAGGCCAGUGAACUCUGGGUGAAGGGAGAGAAAGUGACCUGUGGGUACAUCAGUGAAGACACCAGGGUGGUCUUCAGAUCCACAUCUGCAAUGGUCUACAUCUUCAUCCAGAUGAGCUGCGAGAUGUGGGACUUUGACAUCUAUGGUGAUCUCUACUUUGAGAAGGCUGUGAAUGGUUUCCUGUCUGACCUUUUUGCCAAGUGGAAGGAGAAGAACUGCAGUCACGAGGUGACCGUUGUGCUGUUCUCACGCACGUUCUACAACGCUAAAGUGAUAGAUGAGUUUCCUGAGAUUCUGAGAGGCUCCAUCAGGCAGGACCACGAGGGGCGUUUCUACGAAGACUUCUACAGGGUCGUGGCUCAGAACGAGAGGCGGGACGAGUGGACGUCUCUACUGGUCACUAUCAAGAAGCUGUUCAUCCAGUAUCCCGUCCUGGUGCGACUGAAAGAAGCAGAUGGUUUUCCUGUGGGUUACAACUCGACUGCUGCUCAGGGGAACUACCUGGAGGCCAUCAACCUCUCCUUCAACGUAUUUGACAAACACUACAUCAACCGAAACUUUGACCGCACGGGGCAGAUGUCCGUGGUCAUCACACCCGGGGUAGGGGUGUUCGAGGUGGACCGUCUGCUGAUGAUUCUCACCAAACAGAGAAUGAUUGACAACGGUAUCGGGGUAGACUUGGUGUGCAUGGGGGAGCAGCCGUUACACGCAGUGCCGUUGUUCAAGCUGCACAACAGGACGACGUCUGGAGACUCCUGCGUGGGAGACGACUACAACCUGCCUCACUGGAUCAACCACAGCUUCUACACCUCCAAAAGUCUGAACUCUUGCAGCUCCUUCACCCCUCGAAUCAAACUGGCCGGUCGAAAGAUUCAUGCAGAAAAAUUCAGGAGCAGCAAAGACCACACCCUCUGCGCUCCAAAGGACUCUGACAACAGCUUGCCCAUACAGGUGGACUACGACGCCUACGACGCUCAGGUGUUCAGACUUCCUGGCCCUUCGCGAAUUCAGAGGAGCACCAACUUCAGGAUGGCCCGGGACAAAGAGGUGAGUGGAAGGAAGAGCUGGGGCUCGGUGGACGUCGGCGCAGGCGUAGGGGCGUCCCCUCCCGUACGUGCGGGGGCUCCGGAGGAACAGCGCAGCCUGGCGUCUGAUGAUAGUCUGGGUCCAGUGUCCAACAUGCUGUUGAUACCCCGCAUGCCUCCGGCCCAAUAUGAAGUCAGCAGCUCUCUGGGAUACACAAGCACCAGAGAGUUGUUGGAGAAGAUGAUGGACUCUCAGCGGGAGUCCAGUGCCCCGGGCAGGUUCACGGUGGGAAGUGCUGAGUCGACGCUGCACAUCCGUCCGGGAGGUUACACCCCGCAGAGAGCGCUGAUAAACCCUUUCACACCGUCCAGGAUGCCCAUGAAGCUCACCUCCAACCGCCGGCGCUGGAUGCACACCUUCCCUGUCGGUCCAUCCGGAGAGGCCAUCCAGAUCCAUCACCAGACCAGACAGAACAUGGCCGAGCUGCAGGGCAGCCAGCAGAGGGAUCCUGCCCACACCUCCGCCGAGCUGCUGGAGCUGGCUUAUCACGAAGCCACUGGAAGGCGGACAAGCUCUCGGCAGGCAGGAGAGCACGGCCUGUACUUUGGUGGAGGGACAGACGAGUUCACUGGAAGUCCAGGGAGCAACAACAGUGGAACUCACCACGGCUCCUCUUGUGAAGACUUUUCCCUCGUCAGUGUCGAUCCAACCCUGCUGCUGUCUGCACCCCCGACAGUGCCCAGCUUCUGCUGCACGGUGGGGGUGGACUGGAAGUCUCUGACCACGCCGGCCUGCCUGCCCCUCACCACCGACUACUUCCCAGACCGGCAGGCGCUGCAGAACGACUACACCGAGGGCUGCUACGACCUGCUGCCGCACAGCGACCUGGACAGGCGAGAGGAUGAGGCUCCAGUGUUGAGUGCGUCUCAAGUGUUCGAGGAGUUCAUCUGUCAGAGGUUGAUGCAGGGCUACCAGAUCAUCGUCCAGCCCAACAACAGGAAGCCGCGGCCCGCCGUGGCCACGCCUCUUGGCAGCAGCCCCCUUUACUCCAGAGGUCUGGUGUCUCUGCGUCGGGCCGAGGAGGAGGAGACCAUCUACUGGCUCAGUAUGGGCCGCACCUUCCACAAAGUCUGUCUCAAAGACAAAAUAAUCACUGUUACACGUUACCUGCCAAAGUAUCCUUAUGAGUCGGCUCAGAUCCAGUACAGCUACAGCCUGUGUCCACCACACUCCGACGCUCAGUUUGUGUCCUGCUGGGUGGAGUUUGGCCACGAGAGGCUGGAGGAAUACAAGUGGAACUACCUGGACCAGUACAUCUGCUCUGCUGGCUCCGAGGACUUCAGCUUGAUCGACUCGCUGAAGUUCUGGAGGACUCGCUUCCUGCUGUUGCCGGCUGGAGGGGCUCGGCGGGUGGCGGACGGCGAAGGCCACUGGGACGUGUAUGGGGAGGGGGCAGGCGCCGGGCUGGGGAGCAGCGGGGACUGGGUGCUGCUGGACGGCUUUGUCCGCUUCCUGGAGGGUCUCAACCGCAUCCGGCGACGCCACCGCUCCGACAGGAUCAUCAGACCAAAGGGCACGCCGAUGAAAGGACUGCAGGUCACCAGUCCUCUCUCCCCCUUCCCCUCCGAGCCUGUGCCUCCCCAACAAGGCAAGAAGGGCACGUCGGCUCUGUCCGCCCUGCUGGAGAUGGAGCAGAAUCAGAAGACACUGGAGGAGCAGCAGCAGACGAAGCCCCCAGCAGCUGUCAGCGACCCCACAACCGUCACAGCCACGGCUCCCACAUAUGUGGACAGCCCCCGCAAGGACGCCGCCUUUAUUUUGGAUUUUAUACGUAGCCCACGCUCCUCCUACAUCUAUCACUCUCAGUUGCCUGCUGAAGCUGGUGAGGCUGCAGAUAAAGGAGUGACAGCUGGAGCACCAGUGCCCCCUGCAGGAGAAACCGCAGCCAGCAGCACUGACACCAGUGGCCAGUCGGCAGCGGGAGCCCUCUCUCUGUCCUCCUCCUCAACACUCCUGGAGAUCCUGGAAGCCAUCAAACAUCCCACGACCGGUGUGCAGCUGCUCCCAGAACAGAAAGGUCUGCCACUGAACUGCUUCAUAAGUGCUGAGGUCGUUCAUUGGCUGGUCAAUAAUGUGGAGGGCGUGGCUAUACCAGGGAUGGCUGUGGAUGUGAUGCAGAAAAUGCUGGAUGAAGGUUUGGUGGCCCACGCUUCUGGAGACGCGAUGCGCACCUUCGUCUACGGUUUCUACUUCUACAGGAUCGUGGGAGAGAAGGAUGCUCCGACCGCCCCGCCCCCCCCUGCAGCCCCUGGAGGUUGGUCCGCUGCCGCCCUGGAGGACUUCGCCCUGUUCCAGAGGAAGUGGUUCGAAGUGGCCUUUGUGUUGGAGGAGCGUCGACCCUGCGACCUGCCGGCCUUCCUCCUGCCCUGGCUGCCCAGCCGGCCGGCCUCCUACGCAAGUAGGCACAGCUCCUUCAGCCGCAGCUUUGGAGGACGCAGCCAGGCUGCCGCACUGCUAGCCGCCACCGUCCCGGAGCAGAAGACAGUCACCCUGGAUGUGGACGUCAACAACCGCAGCGACCGCACCGAGUGGUGCAGCUGUUACUACCACGGGAACUUCUCCCUCAACGCCGCCUUUGAGAUCAAGCUGCACUGGAUGGCCGUCACUGCUGCGGUGCUCUUCGAGAUGGUUCAAGGGUGGCACAGGAAAGCCGCCUCGUGUGGCUUCCUGUUGGUUCCGGUGCUGGAGGUUCCUUUCGCCCUGACGUCCUACCUGUACGGAGACCCGCUGAGGGCCCAGCUCUUCAUCCCUCUCAACAUCCAGUGUCUGCUGAAGAGCGGCAGCGACAACCUGUUCGAAGGUUUUGAACCAGAGACAUACUGGGACCGGAUGCAGCUCUUUCAAGAAGCCAUACUGUACAGGUUCGGCUUCGUGCACGACAAGUUUUCUGCUUCUGCGUUCAACUUCCCCUCUGAGAACAAGCCCCAGUACAUCCACGUGACCGGCGCCGUGUUCCUGCAGCUGCCGUACUCCAAGAGGAAGUACUCGAGUGGGCAGCGGCGGCGCAGGAACUCCACCACCUCCAACAGCCACGGGCCGUUUGGCAGCGAGGAGCGGGUCGGUUACUACUGGGCCUACAACACCAUGCUGACCAAAGCGUGGCGGACGGGCGUGCUGGGAGACGAGCGGCUGGCCGACCGCCUGCUCCGAGACUUCACCGACUUCUGCAGCAACAAGGACAACCGGCUCCUCCACCUGUGGGACGGCUGCCAGGAGAAGAUGAACGCCAGCGCUCCCUGACUUCGACUGCUCUUUAACGAACCUCUCACCAGUAUUCAUGAGCGGAGCUGGUGAUUGACACGGUGGAGAAUGUGGUUUAUUAACAGUCUCCUCGUCCACCGAGCAUCAGCCUCUUCACUGAACUACACGUGAGUACGGAGGGGACAUUCACACACACUUAAAUAAAUUUGGUGGGAUUACUGAGGUGCACGCCCCCUUCCCAUCGGCAUUCCAGUUCCUCACUAAUAUGGAUCUGAACCAACUAGGCUGUGGACUGAAACACUGACGGGACGGGGACGUGUGCGUCAGGAUGUCACGUGCACCAUUUAUUAAGUGACCCGGUAAAGAACCCCUAAGCGAAACAUUAAAAAAACGUCCACAUCACCUCCCCGGGCUCCGCAGCGUGUGUGUAUUUCCUAUCUAAGGUCAAGAUUAUGAAGAUCUCAACAAAGUCAGUUCAAAAGUGCAUUUUUUUCUCUGCAACCUACAGGGCUGAAGAUAUGACCUGAGGAUUAUAUAGAUAUAAAAACAUUUAUGAUAAUGCGUUCGGUACUUUUAGGUGUGCAAAGUAAUUUACAUAUCGUGAGCGCGACCAGUUAAACAGGAAACUUCUGUUUGUGAGGAACCAGUUAUCCACUUCCUCUUGCUUCAUUGUCACACACACACAUUUAUGUGAUGCGUGUCAUGUCGUGUCAGACCUGUCGCUGAAUAAUGUGAUGACGAUUCCGACUGGACGAUCCUGGCCAGUGUCCAGUUCAUUCUGUAAUGCCAACGUCGCGACAUGAAAGAGGUGAAGAAGACACAACAGACUAAAGAGCCAAAUUACACACAACUAAGUUCUGUAUCAGUGACGAGAUGAAGCAUCGACCUGGAUCCUCUUGAGUUACAUGUGAAAAUCAUGACGAUGAAGUCAAACUAUAAAAUAAGUGUUUGAGAGCUGCAACAGUUAAUUAAUUAGUAAUCGACUACUAAAUUAAUCGCCAACUAUUUUGAUAAUCGAUUAAUCGGUAGUAUUAAGAAAGUAGUUUAAAAAAAAAAGUUUAAAUUCUCUGAUAUCAGCUCCUUCCAUGUGAAUAUGUUCUAGUUUCUUUGCUCCUCUGUGACAGUAAACUGAAUAUCUUUGGUGUGUGGACAAAACAGAACAUCACAUUGAGGGUUUGGGAACACGAUUGACAGUUUUCACUGUUUAACGACAUUGUGGAGAAAAUAAUGGACAGAUGAAUCGAUGAUGACAAUAAGCGUCAGUUGCAGCUCUAACGGGCUUGAUGAUGCGACAUGAUGUGAGCACCUUCGACAGUUCAAUAAAGAAAAGAAGUUUCCUCAUGGA